CUUAGUUGUGUUACUUAUGUUCUUCAAGUUGUUCGUGGAUGCUAACUUAUGGUUCUAGCGGAUAUUUACAUCUUGAGAACAUGGUAGUUCAAUUGAGUGGGAGCGUUGAUCAUAGAUAUGAAAUCUAUAGCUUCUACAAGUAUUUAGAAGUGAAACGAGAUGAUUUCCUUUGAGCUUGGCUUGAUAGAGAUAAAUGAUUGAAAAUUUUCAUAAUCUUGUUAUUGAGUCUACUUGAAAAUUACUCAUAUUCUAGAGAUUGACUUGUUUAACUUUUAUUUUUCGUUUUAGUGUUUUACUCAAGGAUGAGUAAGUGUUUAGUUUAGGUUGUGGUAUUUUGCACGCAAGUAUACAUAUCGUAAACAAGUAAUAGAGUCACAAAGAGUGAGGUCGAUCCCACAAGGAUUGUAGUUAAGUACUUUAAAAGUAAACAUUUAUUUCUAUUUGGUUAUGUCAAAAUUAAGAGAAAAUUAAAUUUAAAACACUAAUGAAACAGUGAAAUAAGAAGUAAAUAAAUCAAAAAAGAAAUUAACGAUGAUUAAAGUUAGGGUUUCGAUUUCAAUUGUAUUGAUUAUGGCCUAAUAUGUAGGGCUGUUCACAAAGUAUCCAAUCAAAUCCAAUUCGCACGAUCCAAUCCAAUCCAAUCUGCAAAAUGCAGAUAUCCGCACUUGCGCGGAUUGGAUUGGAUUGAAAAAUCUGAAAUCAGCGGAUUGGAUGUUGUUUGACCUCAAAAAAUAACCGAUCCAAUUUAAUCCGCACUUAAUUAUAUAUAUUUCUAAAAAUUAUAUUAUAUAUAAUUUAUAUUAAUUUUCUUAUAAUAUUAAAAAAAAAAUAAAGACAAUUUCUAAACCUAAACACUUAUAAUCGUUUCUCCUCCUAGUUAAAAUUUCCUACCAUCCGUCAAGACACCUAAACCAAAACGUAAAAAAAUAUCACUUCUUCUCAGUCGACGGUCGACUCCCACCCAUGCUCUUCCGACCAGUCAUCUUCUCAGUCGACGAUUGUCUCCCUCCCAUGCCCUUCCGAUCGACCAGUCCGUCUUCUCAGUCGACGAUCGACUCCCACCCACCCCCUUGCUGCCUUCACUAACCAGUCCAUCUCCUCAGCCAACAACGAUCCUUUUAACUCGUCUUCAGUCGAUGGCCAUCUCUUCAGUCGACGGUCGUCUUUUCAGUCAAAGGAUUUGGAAGAUGGAACAUGGUUUUUUUUUCCAUAUUGUUGCUGGUUGUUGGAUUUGGAGAUGGAACAUGGUUAUUUUUUUUUUUUUAUUUCAUAAUGUUGCACUGUUGCUGCUCGUUCUUGGAUUUAGAAGAUGAAAUAUAGUUGUUUUUUUUUACUAUUAUCAGUUAUGGAAGUCUUAUGUGCUGUUGGAGAUUGAGAAACAGUAGUUUGUUUGUUAAAAUUUUAGUUGUGUUA